AGACACGCAGUGAGCACAAAGCAAAUUAUUAUUUCGCCUUUUAUUAAAGAAUACCGUGUGUUCGUUGCAGAAAGUGAUAUACGCCUAAUUUUGAAAGACUUUUUCUUUGGAAAGGGC